rnacentral:rRNA from 1 species
GAUGAACGCUGGCGGCGUGCCUAAUACAUGCAAGUCGAGCGAAUGGAUUAAGAGCUUGCUCUUAUGAAGUUAGCGGCGGACGGGUGAGUAACACGUGGGUAACCUGCCCAUAAGACUGGGAUAACUCCGGGGAACCGGGGCUAAUACCGGAUAACAUUUUGAACCGCAUGGUUCGAAAUUGAAAGGCGGCUUCGGCUGUCACUUAUGGAUGGACCCGCGUCGCAUUAGCUAGUUGGUGAGGUAACGGCUCACCAAGGCAACGAUGCGUAGCCGACCGGAGAGGGUGAUCGGCCACACUGGGACUGAGACGCGGCCCAGACGCCUACGGGAGGCAGCAGUAGGGAAUCUUCCGCAAUGGACGAAAGUCUGACGGAGCAACGCCGCGUGAGUGAUGAAGGCUUUCGGGUCGUAAAACUCUGUUGUUAGGGAAGAACAAGUGCUAGUUGAAUAAGCUGGCACCUUGACGGUACCUAACCAGAAAGCCACGGCUAACUACGUGCCAGCCGCCGCGGUAA